ACGAUACAUAUCUUGUACUGAUCCAGAGUAACAUCGAUAUUAGACUUCAGAGCUGCACUCACUAUUCUGCUGGGGGAGUCACUGGGGGAGAUUUAUCAUUAGGUGUCUAUUGUAGACACAGAUCUACCCCUUUACACUGCCUGUCUGACACUUUUGCGCAAAAGUUGCUAAAAAUGCGCACGUCCUUUGAUAAAUUUUGCGCAAAUAUAGAAAUGCCCCCCUCGCUCUACCGUGCACUCCUUCUCUACCUCACACUUCACAGACCUGUGGCGUUUUCCCGUGGUGGGCCCACAGAAUUCUGACUUCCCUUCUAUCCUCCCAGGUUAAUAAAGUGUCAUGGCUGACCCUAAUGCUUGUGAAUUCCCUUCAGAGGUUGUUUCCUCCGAUCUCCCUGGACCCUCACAGGCUUUGGGGAAUGUUGUCAUCAUGAAGUGCAUCACUUGCAUAGCAUUUUUGCAUAAUUGGAAAUAAGCAAGCUUACAGACUUAAGUAAAGCCACCGUUCGUUACAGUCCUGCAUGACGCAGCCAUAGAGCCUGAACUUUUGCUUUGCUUGGUUAACAACAUAUAGAGACCUACUUUACAGCAGUCACAGGGACCAUUGGUAAACAACAGCAUGGAGCCGAGGGACUGACUUCUAUAGUGUUCUACACAUGCUCUGUGAUCUGGGUAAAGGUCACUGUGUAGGAAGGGGGAGGAGAAGAGCUGUGAACUCCAAUUUCUGUGGAUGGGAUGAGCCAGUAUUAUCGAUCUACUACUAGUGUCACCUGUCACUUCAUUUUCAGUAGAAGUUCUACCGGUGGAUCUUUUUUGGAGAGCUUCUUUAAUGAGUUUUUUAGACCCACCGCUUAUUCAAAGAUAACUAUAGUCUGUGUCUCUGUGUAGCAAUUGCAUUAAAGAAAACAGAAUUGGCAGCAGCUUUUUUAUGGUUUCCAUAAAUAAAGGGGAUUUCUUUUCUUUGCUGCAAGUAAAAUAGAUGAAAAUACUGUAAAUAGCAAGAUGGCCAAACUGGUGGUCAUUUAUAUUUUACAUUAACAAGUAGGACAAAGAAACCGAAGACAAUGAUUCAGACAGGCUGUGACACCAGACGAGUCUCAAGAUUGUCUAUGUUUCUGUUAAUGUUCUCACCCUGGAUUUGCUACAACAUGACCAUCCACUAUGACCAUCCAGCUUCCUGACACGGCUGCCCCCCUGCUCCAUAACAUUCCAGUCUCCUUACCUCUUUGGUCAACAAGCAAGGUCCUUCGCUGCAUCCCUGCAGUUUUGGUUCAUACAUCAUGUAAUUUAUAAACCUGAUUCUCCCACAUUCUCCUCCAAUGAAACCGUUUAGGAAUUCAGGACCUUCGGAAGAUGUACAGGAAACUAUGAAAGUUUUUGUAAACUUCUUCCCCCAAAAAGACAAGGAGUGGCAGCUUUAGGUGAGGGCAGAGUUUGGAAUCCCACAGCAAACAGACUAGAAACGCGAAGCGACAUGUCGACAAGAGAAGGUUAACCCGUUCAGUGAUCUGACAGCAAGGAGGCACAAAAUACUGGAAGUGGCGGCAAAAACAGAAAGAAACGGCAGAGGUCGAGAUACGCAACAGAUGACGUCAUCAUAACAAAUUAGCACAUUAGCCCAGAAACAGCAGGUCCUCUACAUGCCGAAAAGUAGGGUGCAGUCCACCAACCAAAUCUCAGUCACACAUGGUACCAUCUACAGUACUCAAGGAGCUUUUCUGCUACCAUGUACUGUACUUAAGCAAAUAAGUUGAAAGCAGUUUGCCAAACAUUUCUGACACACACAAUGCAUUUUUGGGGUAUGUGGUGAUUGCUUACAAACUAUGGGGUAGAUUUAUCAUUGUUGUCUUUGGAAAGUUAGUUUUGAAGCCAUUUAUUUUUGCUUUGGUUUUGCUUACGUACAACAUGUUUUUCAUACUAUAACAUGGGGCUUGAUAAAUUUAACACAUAUAAGCAAAAAACAGUAGAUGACUUUAGAACACCAUUUUGUAUGAUUUCUGCUCUUCUCUGCAAAUUUUCUGUACAGAAAGUUGCAGUUGUGACUUUUUGGGUGGCUUUUUAAAAGUGCUCUCAGAAGACAGUUUUCUAAGCCAGGUAACAUUCGCACUUCAUAAAUCCAAAAAAAUUGCAAAGUGAAAACUGAAAUUGACUUUUGCAAGUCGCUUACAGCCAAAAGUUACGAAAAAAUUGCUUUGGGACACGUGCAACAUAUAUUUAAAUAUAUAUAUUUAAAAAUAAAGACAAUGAUAAAUGUCCCUCUAUGUUUAAAUGUUUUUUUCCUCCCGAAUCAUAAAGUGGAGCUAUACCAUGAAAAUAAUUGCCUAAUACCUCAUUUCCUGAAAAGGA